rnacentral:rRNA from 1 species
UCAGCCGCCGCGGUAAUACCAGCUCCUCGAGUGGUCGGGGCGAUUAUUGGGCCUAAAGCAUCCGUAGCCUGUUCCGUAGGUCUCCUGCAAAAUCCAGUCGCUCAACGAUUGGCCCGCAGGAGAUACCGCGGGACUAGGAGGCGGGAGAGGUGGACGGUACUCCACGUGUAGGGGUAAAAUCCUUUGAUCCGUGGAAGACCACCAGUGGCGAAGGCGGUCCACCAGAACGCGCUCGACGGUGAGGGAUGAAAGCUGGGGGAGCGAACCGGAUUAGAUACCCGGGUAGUCCCAGCCGUAAACGAUGCUAGCUAGAUGAUCCAGUCGCAAAUCGCGACUGGAGUGUCGCAGGGAAGCCGUUAAGCUAGCCGCCUGGGGAGUACGGUCGC